AUGCUGCUCUCCAGUCUGCUCUGGGUGUUCCUGGCCUUCACCUUCUCUGGAUCUGGUGUGGCCCAGAGUGUUACUCAAGACCAGCCAGACAUACUCAGUGAAGUGGGGAAAACAGUCACCCUGAACUGUCGGUAUGAAACAAGUUGGGACAUGUUCCACUACUACAUUUUUUGGUACAAGCAGCUUCCCAGUGGACAGAUGACUUAUCUUAUUCGUCAGCAUUCAGAUGAUGGGAAUGCAAGGGACGGCCGCUACUCUGUAAACUUCCAGAAAGCUCAUAAGUCCAUCAGCCUCACCAUUUCAGCCUUAGAGCUGGAAGAUUCUGCAAAGUACUUCUGUAGUGUAUACAAAGCUGUUAUCUUUGUAUCUGGUGUUGAGACUGAAUUUAGUGUUAGAUCUGGUAUAGCCCAGAAAGUUAUUCAAGAUCAACCAGACAUAUUCACUCAGAUUGGAGAGGCAGUCACCGUGAACUGUCGGUGUGAAGCAAGUUGGAGCAGUUACAACAUUUUUUGGCUCACAGUAAUGGGUGAACUUCAGAAGUUUGCCAUCAUGUUACAUGCAUACUUGGUCAAAGACAGAGAACAUGAGUAA